rnacentral:rRNA from 1 species
UACAGAGGGGGCAAGCGUUGUUCGGAAUUACUGGGCGUAAAGGGCGCGUAGGCGGCCUGUUAAGUCGAACGUGAAAUCCCCGGGCUCAACCCGGGAACUGCGUCCGAUACUGGCAGGCUUGAAUCCGGGAGAGGGAUGCGGAAUUCCAGGUGUAGCGGUGAAAUGCGCAGAUAUCAGGAGGAACACCAAUUGCGAAGGCAGCUCGCUGGGACGUUACUGACGCUGAGACGCGAAAGCGUGGGGAGCAAACAGG